CCCAAUCUCAAUCUCCAUCCGCCGCCGCCACGCCUUACCUCUCCUCGGCCCUGUCCUCCGCCUCCACCUCCCCGCCUCCAAGCGAUGACGACGGCCCGAGAUCCAUGGUGACGGCGGCUGCAGUGGCCCGAUGGAAGCGGCGGCCAUCCCUAGCCGUUGCCGCGUGCUUCUGCUACUCACGUUGGCCAUGGAUCUGCAGCAGGGGGCUCCCUCCUCCGUUUCCCAGAGCCCGCAGCUGAUUCGCCAUCCGGAGAUUCGGAGCAGCAAGCACCGGACGAGGAGAGGACGAGGACUGUAACCUGCUGGAGGCCCGAGCGCGACCUCGUCAACGGCGACGACGCCCCGCACAAGAUCAGUAGGAGCUCUCUGCCUCUCCAAUUCCAUGGACGGCGACGACCGGGACCCCACGCUCAAACCCGACGAGCUUGAACGGCGAGGUCAUCCGUGCCGACCAUCAUGAUUCCCCACAGAACAAUAAGGUUGACUCUCUCGUUCUGUUUUUCUUUUCUUCCAAUUGCCUGCUGCUCUUCUCUAGCAUAGUUCUCCAGGGGCUCACCAAUUUUCUUGGACUGAACCUGAUGCAGAAAACGUGUUCACUUUGUUUCCUGAUACUCGCAAGCUACAGCAAGUUACAGCCACCGACAGACUAGCACUGCUAGAUAUUUCCUUUUUCUUCUCUCACCGUGCGAGCAUUAGCGGUGUAGACUUUGUGUUAAAUAACUACUCCCUCCGUAAACUAAUAUAAGAGCGUUUAGAAUACUAAAAUAGUGAUCUAAACGCUCUUAUAUUAGUUUACAGAGGAAGUACUAGUUAGACAAGCUGUGUGGUGGUUCACGUUUAGUUCCUAAUUAGGCCAUGCCAGUAAUGAAUAAAGCAUAUUAGUGUUCUUCUCCUUUCUAUUGUUAUUAGUCUGGUAUAUCUCUAUAUUUUUAUAUUGUCUUUACUCCCUGGCGUAGUUGCAAACUAAUAAUUAACGAUGUGCAGAACUUGUCUAAGUUAGAUGUACUCAGUGGCGGAGCUACAACAAAUAAGUUGGGCGGGCCAAUUUUUUUCCUCUAAACCAUACAGUUAAGUAGGCAUGAGUUAGUGAAAUUUCAGGUUGCCUGUAUAGGGAAACUGGUAACAGGAUGAUGUUGUCAAGUAAAAUUUGGACAAAUAAAUGAAAUUUCUUGUGCGCUAGCUGCCUGCUGGUUCUAUGGUCUUGUGCUCGUCGCCUGGGUAGUUCAUCAGCGGCUAGCCGCUGGCAGCCGCCAUAUGGCCAUGCCCGUUGUGGCAUAGGGAUGGGUCACCGUAGGGGUUGCUACAUGCGGCGCCCGUCUGCCUGGCUAUUGGACCGCUCCAUCUCUGAGUGGCUUGCUCAGUGCUGAAUUGGGGCAGAGAGCUCAUAGCUGGAUGCGAGGGAGACAUGCUAUUGGAUUAAGCUGUUACAUGUACAAAAGAGUUUUAUUUGUCUGUGGAGCUGGGUGGGUCAUGGCCUUGUUUUUCCCUCACGAAGCUCCGCCAGUGGAUCUACUCAUCUUUGUUGUUGUUAGGAUCAAAUAUCAAUGCUAGUUGAGUCAUACUACGUCCAUCUUGAAAUAUAAGUCAUUUUUAUAGGCUAAACUGGCCUACAAAAAUGUCUUAUAUUUUGAGACGGAGUUAGUACUUGUUAGUUCUGACCAUGCCUAGCUUAAGGACUCAUUGGUAUUCUUGAUAAGAAAAUCCUGCAUAUGUUCGUACAUGUUCCUAUCUGAAUUAAUAUUGGAUGUUUCUUGGUGUGUGCAUGUGACAGUCAAGGCACAUUUUCACAAUAUAUGUUGGUAUAUGGUGUUGUGAAACUUCUAUGAUUGAACAUACCACGGCAAGAUUCAGAAGUAACUUUCUUCCAUCUACAAAAGUUGAGAGGCAGAGGGAGAGGCACACAGUUUUACCACUGAAUAAGCUACUCCCUGAGCUAGAGGGAGGGGCACAAGAUUUACCACUGAAUAAGCUGUUCCAUUCUACAUUAUUGAGGCUCUAAAAUGAAAUAAUGAAAUGGUGUAACAAUCUGUAGCUUUAGAGAUUUAGAGGCACACAUAGAUAAUGAAAUAGUGUAACAAUCUGCAGGUUUGAAAAGUUUAGUGUUCUUAUUCGAUCUUGGUUUGCAGCAAAUAAUAAUAUGUCAUUGCACUUUGGGCUCAAAUGAAAUUCUUGUAUGUUGUCAAUUCUCUGUCAAAAGUUGUUUUAACAGUGUGCUAAGUUUUGUCAGAUGCGUUGCCUAGGUCUAUCUCAUGGACACCCAGAUUUUGUAUGCAAUUUUCUCAACACCCAGAUUGGAGCCUAAGGUUGGACAUUUUGAUGGGACUGCGGAUCUUCGGAUGUUGGUGCUGAGAUUGAUGUGGCCCUAGCUACAUGUAAGCGAAGCUUAUGAUGUUGAUCCUCCAGGCUGCACUGCCAUCGUUUUACCUCAGAAACUGUUGGUAUGAUUGCGUACCGGGCUACUUGGUGCUGCCCAUCACAAUUUGCACUGACAUGAUAACUUCCAUCAAGAGGGCCGGCUGCAAGAACUUGAAUAGCAACUUCAAUAGUUUAAAUGUUCUGUUUGUGUGAACUGGAUUGUACUGUUUUUUAACUUUCCCAAGUGAUAUAUGUUGUAAACUAUCAUUUCAUGGAGGAUUUUGUAAGCUGCUAUGUUGUAGAUACUUGUGGGUGACUGCAUUUUGAUUCAUAUGUGCAUGUGAGACAGUUUUGAAAUA